GCCAGGGUGGCGUAGUGGUCAGCGCAUCUUCCUUGUGAGCAGGGGACCCGGGUUCGAAUCCCGGCCUUCGUA